GGAUAACACUUUUUGCUAUCUCCGAUCAAUAACGUAAUGACACAUAGAAUAACUUUUUCAUGUAUCAUUAUGUUAUUGGUCGGGAAUAACAAAACAAUGUUAUCU
rfam:Prunus persica cultivar Lovell chromosome G6, whole genome shotgun sequence.